UUCGUAUUGUUACCAAACGAUGGCGCCAACCACCCUUGUGAAAGCAAUCGUCGUCUAAAAAUAAGAAAAACUCGAAAACGUUGAGUUUAUGACUUUAAGUAUUACGAUUGUUGAUUGUUGAAUCAUUGGAAGCGUUAUUUUGUCAUCAUGCCUCCCAAAAGUCCCAAAACUGCUGCAGUCAAGGGAGACAUUCGAAAUUUUUUCACGUCGAUCGCCCCGAAAUCGUCGAAAUCACCGGGUUCAGCAUCGAAUGUGAAAGACGAGGAUGCAGGGAAACGAAAGAAGAAAGCCAUGGUUCUUGUUGACUCCACAGAUUCAGACUCGGAAGGGCCUAUCAUGAAACCUGCGUCCUUAAAGAAAACAAAAGUGGAAGAUGUACCAAAGAAGGAGACUGUUGUUUCAGCCUCCAAACUCAAGAAACAUGCCAAAACACCUGAAACUCCACUUCAACCUGUUGACAUCGGCUCAGUAUUCGGCAACAAGCCCAUCCAGAGGAGCAAGGAAAUACCAGAGAAAAGGAAAAGAACGGUCAUUGAAGAUCACAGUGAUGAAGAUUUUGAAGCCACACUGCAGCAGUUGGAUGAAGCCCCAGUGACGAAAAAGUCAAAAGUGGUCGAAAAGUCAACAAGUAAAAAGGGCAAACCCGAUUCUCCAACCAAGAAAGAGAAAAUCAAAUCUCCUGCCAAGGAAGAGAAAUCCAAGUCUAGCCCUCCGUCUAAAAAUGAGAAAACAUCUUCAAAAGAGUCAGCCCGGGUGGAAGUAAAGAGGGAUUCUGACAAGAAGAGAAAGGCUGCUGAUUCAUCCGUCACUCCCAAGAAGAGCACUCCCACUAAGGAUGCCAAACCCAGUGAAGAGAAAGACAAAAGAAUCAAAUCCCAGCUGAAAGAAUUGGACUCUAAUUCAAAUAAAACCUCUUCAACCCCCAAGUCAAACAAAAAGAUGAAGGCGGAGACAACAAUUGUCAAAGAAACUCCCAAAAAGAAGUCGAGCAAAGAUGAUGACGACGACGACCCAGAUGUAAUCGACUCGCCGGCCUUCGAUGCCUUAGAAAAGCGAAAAGAAAAGGCCGAGAAUUACCGGAAAUUCCUUGCUUCUCGCAGAGACGGCGGAGCGAAAAAUCCCGGCAGUAAACCCGUUCCGGAGGGAGCUCCGGGAUGUCUGACGGGAUUGACCAUUGUCGUUACAGGCGUUUUGGAAUCCCUGCACCGUGAAGAGGCCGAAGGGCUUGUCAAGAAAUAUGGCGGCAAAGCGCCUAAAGCUGUCAGCAAGAAUACGACGUAUCUAUUGGCCGGCGAUGAUGCGGGUCCCUCUAAGCUGUCGAAAGCCAAGGAUCUCAAUGUACCCAUGCUCAGUGAAGAUGAUUUCUUGAAAUUGAUCGCUACAAGACCUGCCGGCCAAGGUUUAAGUUCUCCGGCUGCCAAGAAAGCCCCGACGACACCUAGGAGCGCCCAUAAAGCCGCCGCGUCCAAGAAAGCCGAGCCAGAGCCUCCUGGCAAGCCUAUUACUGUUUCUAGUCCGCCCAAGAAGAAAUCCCCCGAACCCAAGAAAAUCGAUCUCAAACCGCAGCAGAGUAGCAGCAGCAGCACGGCCGCUCCUAUCAGGAAAGCCGAGCUCAUUUCGUUAAAAAUGGAAGUCGCCGAAGGAAACGACCAAGCCCAACUACCCUGGGUCGACAAGUACAAACCGACCAGCUUAAAACAAGUGAUUGGAAUGCACGGAGAUCGGAGCAUCGCUAAAAAGUUGGUCUACUGGCUCAAAAGUUGGUACGAUAAUCGCGGCAAGAAACUUACAAAGCCCAGUCCCUGGUCGACCAACGACGACGGAGCCUUCUUCAAAGCCGCUUUGCUCUCCGGCCCACCUGGCAUUGGAAAAACCACGACGGCCCAUCUGGCGGCCAAGGAGCUGGGCUACGACCUGGUGGAGAUGAACGCCUCCGAUACCAGGAGCAAGCGGCUGCUCCACGAGCACGUGAUGGAGCUCUUGUCGUCGCAGUCGCUGUCGUCGUACGCUCACGGUUCGGCUCAGAUUGAAGGCGGCCGCAAGCGGGUGCUCGUCAUGGACGAAGUGGACGGCAUGGCGGGUAACGAGGACCGCGGCGGGAUUCAGGAGCUGAUUGCCAUGAUCAAAACGUCGAAAAUCCCGGUCGUUUGCAUCUGCAACGACCGGCAGCACCCGAAAAUCAGGAGCCUCUCCAAUUAUUGCUACGAUUUAAAGUUCACCAAGCCGAGGAUCGAGCAGAUCCGCGGGGCCAUGAUGAGCAUCUGCUUCAAAGAGGGACUCAGCUUGAAACCGGAAGCUCUCGACGAGAUCAUCAUGGGAGCCAAUCAGGACGUCCGCCAGGUUCUUCACCACUUGUCGAUGCUGGCCUCGGGCAAGAAGAGCCUGUCGACCGAGAGCGCCAAACUGGAGGCGUCCAAGAGCAAGAAGGAUCUCAAACUGGGACCGUGGGACGUUGUCAAGAAGGUUUUCUCCGCCGAGGAGCACAAAGGAAUGAGCAUCCACGACAAGACGGGCCUCUUUUUCCAGGAUUACAGUUUCGGUCCCUUGUUCGUCCAGGAGAAUUAUCCUUGCGUCGUGCCUCAGGCGGCCAAAGGCAACGCCAUCAAGACGCUGGACUUGCUGGGCCGCACCGCCCACUGUAUGUCUCAGACGGACCUGAUCGAGAAAGUCAUCCGCUCACAGAACGCUUGGAGUCUGCUGCCGGUGGAGGCCGUUUUCGCCAGCGUGGUGCCCGGCCAGCUGAUGGAAGGUUUCAUCAGCUCACAAAUCGUGUUUCCCAGUUGGCUGGGCAAGAAUUCGCGCACCAACAAGAUGGACCGUCUCCUGCAGGAGCUGCAGACGCACAUGCGUCUCAAGAUCUCUGGAUCGAAGCGGGCCGUCAAUCUCGACUACCUUCCCUACGUUCUCAAUUCGAUCGUCGGACCUUUGAAGCGGUCAGGAGCCGACGGGGUCAGCGAGGCUAUCCGGGCGAUGGAGAGCUACGAUCUGAUGAGGGAGGAUCUCGACUCGCUCCUCGAGGUGGCUCAAUGGCCACAUAAACCAGACAUCAUGGCCGGAAUCGAAGGCAAAGUCAAGGCGGCCUUCACCCGGGCUUACAACAAAGAAGCUCACAUGACACCGUACGCUGCCGGCCAAGUGAAGAAGGGCCGAUCGAAAGACACGGCCGACGAUUUGGAAGCCCUGGAUGGAGAUGAGGAUGGAUUGGCUGGCGAGGAGGACGAUGAGGAGCAGAGCCAAGAUCCAUCGCUGGAUGCCAUGAUCAAAGUCAAGAAGGAAUCGAAGAAGACGGCCAGCAGCAGUAGCAGCUCAGGAGCGGCCAGCAGGAAAAAAACAGGAGCCCCAGCUGCCACCAGAGGUCGAGGCGGUGGCCGUGGAGGUCGCAAGAAAGCCGCUGAAUAAUUGACCGUGUGUUUUCCUCCGCUGCUAUGCAAGGGGCGGCUCCUGGGCACUGGGGCCGUCUCUCUCUCUUGGGUUUGUUUUUUCUUUUCUCCUGUACACCCACUGGAUAUUAUUCCGGCGGAAUACGAAGAAAAGAAGGUUAUUAAUGUUAUAUAUCGCUGCACACAGUGGAGAGCUCGAUCUCACAUGUGCCCCACAUCCAUCCAGCAGCAGUGCAACGGCUCCUUGCAUAUUGCAUCGUCUGUGUGUGUGUGUGUGAAUAUGUGCUCACACGGUAGCAGCAGCCUCUACUAUUAUUAUUACACACGAAUAUAUCCGGAAUGCGGCCCAAUCUUUUCGCGAAACAAAAAGAAAAUAUCUACACACAACACACGGACGUGAAGGUUCCGAGACCAAACGGCGUCUGAAUUGAUGGGGACCCUUUCGCCCUCUCGUCAGAGAGAUGGCAAACAAUUGUACGUUUACAUAUAGUUAGAUAUAGUAGUAACAUGGAAUAAGGAGCCCGUGAGAGAUGCGUUUAGAUUGUAGAGAGUGGAUGGUGGAGGGGAGAGAAUGAGACGUCAUAUUCGGACGGAUGGAACUAAUGAAAAGUUCUCUGUAUGUGUGUGUGUGUGUACCCCCGUGUGUGCCGGUCUCUAAACUACCAACUACUAGGAGCUAUUACUCCAUAUACAGUACAGAGACUCUGUACUGUGUGUGUGUGUGUGUAGCAAAGGAGCCGGCUGUAAUCCAAUAUAGUAUACGAGGAGCCUCUUCAAUAUGAUGGCUGCGUUGGAUGCUGGAUAUAUAUAACAUCUCUACUAGCCAGGAUCCUACGUUAAAAAGAAAAGAAAAAAAUUGAUUCGGAUGGGAGUCUGCUGUGUACGUGGAGGACCCUCGUCGAGGUAUUGCUCCUCUGCGUCCAAUUACACCUCACCUUUUCUAUUUUUGACGGUUUUGGCUUUAUAAGACUAUGGAUACGGGGGCGGAGUAUUCUUCUUUCUUAGACUCUCUCUAGCUCGUUUUGUCAACCAAUCAUCAAAUAAGGAAGAAAUUAUAAGCCCAAAAGAUAAUGCCCCCAUCCAAAAUCCUCGGGAUGAUGUUAAUAACCGCGGGAAAUUGAUUUUUUGGGGCUCCUAACCAUAGAAACGAAUUAGAUUUCAUUGUCUAAGCAACUAUCAUCCGUUUUGGGGUCAGACAUUUUUUCCAGGCUCUCCUUUUGUUGCACAACUGGACACAUUUUUCUAUCCUGGAUAUUUUUCUAGACGGGGCGGACGGCUUGUUGCCGUGCAGCGUGAGCGCGAUAGAAACUAGGAGCGGGAGAGUUGCUCUCCCCACCGCCGUUUUAUUGAUUUAUACGUAUACGUAACACAGAGACAGACAUAUCCAGAGCGAUGCCUGGAAGACGGAAGCUGGAUUAAUGUGUACAGUAGUGGUAGUAGUAGUAGUACCGUACCACACAGUAGCGUGGUGGCGUAACAUUUUCCUCUGAAAUACGGCGAUAAUUUCCUGAUAAAACCCGCAGCUAAUCUCGUCUGACAGUCGCCGGGAAAUCCCCCCUCCUAUAUUUGGCGGGGUUACAGAGGUUAAACCUUUAUUUCAAUUAAAUUCGAAAUUCAAUUGAAAUUUCAAAAGUUUUUUAAAAACGGUAAAAUGUAAGUGGCCAUUUUUAUUUUUUGUUGUUUCGGCCUUUUUCUUUUUUAUUCGAUUAUUUUACUACACACACACACAUAUAGGCAUAUAAAAUAUAAAUCUUGGAUGUCUGCUGGAAGGAGAGGGGUUUUGCACGCUGGUUGGCUGGCUGGAGGCUGGCUGCUGCACGCCGAGAGAUAGAAACUCGCUAAAGCCUGGGCCCAUCAAAAUGAAAUGUAAAUGAAACAAGGAGCGACGGAGCGAACGACCGAAAACACAACAAAAAAUAUAAAAGGAGAAAGAAAAAUAUAUAGAAGUUUUUAUCGUCAGAAAAAUGUGUUUUAGAAUGGGGGAAAAAUUGUAUUAGGUUAGUAUACACCAAUGUGUAUAGGAAAAGGGGGGAGGGGGGAAGGAAAAGGUCUGGUGUAGUACACUGCCUUGCUAUAGGUCGAUGCCGUAAAGAUGUCAAUCUCGCAAUGGCAGGAAAUAUAUUGGACUGGGCUUCUCCAGGCGUGUCACGUGCCUUGGUUCGUUCCAGGAGCCCCCCUUCCCCCGCUCCUUGCUCCUGUCUCGUUUUAAAUCCAUCCGAGGGAAAAAGACACGUACCACUGUGCAUAUAACUGCCAUAAGUCUUUUUUAUGUUUGACUAUAUUCACUCGUUAUAAAUAAAAUUAAACUUUUUUUUUCAACCGCAGGAUUUCCACGUUUUAUCGAUUUC